ACUUUCCAGCUGCUAAUCUGUAUGCCCCAUAAGGGCAAUGAGCUUACUGUGCUUGACACACAAUGGGCAUAGAAUAAAUAAUUGGUGAAACCACAGUUAAUUUUUCAGAAAUCCUUUACUUCCAGCUAUUAACACAUUUAACAUUUAUUUACGACAAUAGAUCUGAAUAAUUAUUUUCACUAAUUAGGUUGCAUUAAUUGCAAGUGUGAUGAUUCUUUUUUAAUUUUCAAGAUUAAUUUUUUUUUUUUUUAGGGAUGGGACUUUGCUGUGUUGACCAGGCUGGUCUUAAACUUCUGGUCUCAAGUGGUCCUCCUGCCUCAGCCUCUCAAAGUGCUGGGAUUACAGGUAUGAGCCACUGAACCCCACCUGAUUUUUUUUUAACUUUUGACCAAUAAGGCAAAUUAUUUGAAGGUUUAAAAAUUUUGUAUUGCCAGGCGGGGUGGCUGACACCUGUAAUCCCAGCACUUUGGGAGGCCAAGGCGGGUGGAUCACGAGGUCAAGAGAUCGAGACCAAGAGGAAGGAUAUCCUCUGCUGAAAGUCAAAUGCCACUCCAAAUCUACAACUCCACUUAGCCUAGUCUAUACUGAGGAUAUAAUAGGGCAUGGAAUCAAACCACCUCUCCAACCCACAGAACAAAUUGCUAUGACACUCUGUGUUGGCGUUUCCCAGGCACUUCUCACUAGUGGUAAUUAGCAGCACAUAAAUGCUAAUGACUAAUUACCUUGGCCUGUGUAGACAUCCGGGGAACCAAAGUAACCUAUUAUCCAAAAGCCUGACUUCACAGAUACAGAGACAGUAAAACCCCAGGUUUUGUCUUUCAGUAACCCCUGGGUUUGCAGGGAGGAGGGGACUGGGAAGGUGGGAAGAUGGCAGGGAAGGUCCGUCAAUAAAUUAAUGGUAAUUAGAUUUUAGGAGGUAUAUCUGGGCAAUUGUCAGCCUCUGUAUGCUAACAUCUCUGAAAAUUUAAUUCAGGGAGUCAUGCAGUCUCUGUAUACAUUUACUUGAACGUCUGCUUUUCCUCUAGACACUCUGUUGUCAGAACAUGUGAUACCUAAAACUUAUGUAGGAACAUCUGGUAUCCUUAAUAAAACAUAUCAGAUAAAUGGGUGGCUUCUGGGCAGCAUAUGUGCAUAUAGGUGAAAAUAAAUAAUUGGCUUUUUUGGAAAAAAAAUAUCAAGGUCAAAGAGAUGAUUCUUCAUAACAAGGUGUUAAUGUGUUGCAGCCCCCUCCUACUGAGUCCUCGAGGGAGAAGCAGUACAGACUCCUGAAUUUCCGUAAUGUAAGGGGUUAGGGACAGCGGUGGAGUUCAGUGGACGAGAGAACUUGCAGCUGCGUUGGCUAAGCAAGCACAGGUUUGACUUGCAGGCGUGUUUGGUUUGGGUGUGUGGCUCUGGGGAAGGGGCGAUUAUAGGAAACUAAAGUCCCACCAAAGGA
rnacentral:lncRNA from 1 species